rnacentral:sRNA from 1 species
AAACCUCGGAACAGACCUUUGCCUGCCAACUUCCCAGCUCUCUGGCCAGCUUCUGAUCGUUAGCAGUGGGUUGGCUCCCAUGAAAACCUCAAAGGCAUCCCAGCGCUAUAGAGGCAUCCGGAGAAAUGCCAGCCAGUGCUACCUCUACCAGGAAUCUCUGCUGCUCAGCAACUUGGAUGACAGCUUUAGUGCUGAUGAAACAGGGGACAGCAAUGAUCCGGAACAAAUCUUCCAGAAUAUACAGUUCCAGAAAGAUCUCAUGGCGAACAUUCGCUGCAGACCCUGGACUAUGGGACAGAAGCUGAGGGCACUGAGACGAGCGAAGGACAUUGUGCUGAAGUUCGAAGGGAGGCUGACCAGGACCCGAGGCUACCAAGCAGCAGGUGCAGAGCUCUGGCGGAAAUUUGCUCGUCUCGCCUGUAACUUUGUGGUCAUCUUCAUUCCCUGGGAAAUGAGGAUAAAGAAAAUCGAGAGUCAUUUUGGAUCUGGCGUUGCCUCCUAUUUCAUAUUCUUGAGAUGGUUAUUUGGAAUUAAUAUUGUGCUCACCAUUAUGACAGGUGCUUUUAUUGUCAUUCCGGAGCUGAUUGCAGGCCAGCCCUUUGGAAGCACAGCCAGGAAGACCAUCCCCAAGGAGCAGGUUUCGUCUGCCCAAGACCUGGACACCGUCUGGUCUCUGGGGGGCUACCUCCAGUACUCUGUCCUCUUCUAUGGAUAUUAUGGCAGGGAGAGGAAGAUCGGGAGAGCUGGUUACCGGCUGCCCUUGGCGUAUUUCCUAGUGGGGAUGGCAGUGUUUGCUUACAGCUUCAUCAUUCUUUUAAAAAAGAUGGCUAAGAACUCCCGCACGAGCCUUGCCAGUGCUUCCAACGAAAACUACACCUUCUGCUGGCGGGUGUUCUGUGCCUGGGACUACCUCAUUGGAAACCCAGAGGCUGCAGAGAGCAAAACAGCUGCCAUAGUGAACAGCAUCAGGGAAGCUAUACUGGAAGAACAGGAGAAAAAGAAAAGCAAAAACCUGGCAGUGACCAUCUGCCUGAGGAUUAUUGCCAACAUCUUGGUGCUUCUCUCACUGGCUGGGAGCAUUUAUCUCAUCUACUUUGUGGUGGACCGGUCCCAGAAGCUGGAGCAGUCGAAGAAGGAGCUGACACUCUGGGAAAAGAAUGAGCAGGUCAGUGUGGUGGUCUCCCUUGUCACCAUGAUAGCACCGUCAGCCUUUGACCUCAUUGCUGCCUUAGAGAUGUACCACCCCAGGACCACGCUGCGCUUCCAGCUUGCAAGGGUCCUUGUGCUGUAUCUGGGAAAUCUCUACAGCCUGAUCAUUGCUCUCCUGGACAAAGUUAAUAGCAUGAGCAUUGAGGAAAUGGCUACCAAAAAUAACACAAGUCAUUGGAUAGAUUCCACCACCUUCUUUGCAACCAGGACAGCCCCUGAAGAAGAGAAAUGGUCCACAUCUCGGCCUGGAAUGGGGCUCAGGAGAAACAACACAUGGGCCUUGGAAGAGACCAGCAUUUCAGCUUACACCAUGCCUCUCAUAAAGGCCAACAAGACUAGCCUCUACACUCAGAGUCCACAAGACCAGUGCUGGGAGACAUACGUUGGUCAGGAGAUGCUGAAGCUCUCCAUCAUUGACAUGCUCUUCACUGUGGCGAGCAUUCUUCUCAUAGACUUCUUCCGAGGACUUUUCGUGCGGUACUUAAGUGACUACUGGUGUUGGGAUCUGGAAAGCAAGUUUCCUGAAUAUGGAGAAUUCAAAAUAGCUGAGAAUGUGCUACAUUUAGUCUACAACCAAGGAAUGAUUUGGAUGGGGGCCUUUUUCUCCCCAUGUCUCCCAGCGUUCAAUGUUCUCAAACUCAUUGGGCUCAUGUACCUGAGGAGCUGGGCUGUGCUGACCUGCAAUGUGCCCCACCAGCAAGUAUUUCGAGCCUCAAGAUCCAACAACUUCUACUUGGCAAUGCUCCUGUUUAUGCUGUUUCUGUGCAUGCUGCCAACCAUUUUUGCUAUUGUCCGAUACAAGCCAUCUCUAAACUGUGGGCCAUUCAGUGGACAAGAGAAAAUUUAUGACAUUGUGUCAGAAACGAUUGAGAAAGACUUUCCCGUGUGGUUUGGCUCCGUGGUUGGGCACAUCAGUAGCCCCGUGGUCAUCCUGCCCGCGGUACUCCUGCUUUUCAUGCUCAUCUAUUAUCUCCAGAGCAUCGCACGGUCUCUAAAGCUCAGCAACCACCAGCUCAAAAUGCAGAUCCAAAACGCAAGUAUUUCAUGAACUUUGCUAUUGUGAAUAUGUGUCAACCAUAUGACUGACAUCUUGCCAGCGUGGGAAUACAAGUGAGGCCACAUCUUCAAGGUUUCUGUGACUCUUGGCCACCCACUAUGGUGCAAGGCCACCAAUCCCCAGAUGUCCAAGAGUUAUUUCUAAGAAUACCCAGGGAUGGCUCCCCUUUGCUAGGAAGAA